rnacentral:rRNA from 1 species
UGGCGGACGGGUGAGUAACGCGUGGAUAACCUGCCUUUCACAGGGGGAUAACAGCUGGAAACGGCUGCUAAUACCGCAUGAGCCUCUUUUGUCGCAUGACGGGAGAGGGAAAGAGAAAUCGGUGAGAGAUGGAUCCGCGUCCGAUUAGCUAGUUGGAGGGGUAACAGCCCACCAAGGCGACGAUCGGUAGCCGACCUGAGAGGGUGGACGGCCACAUUGGGACUGAGACACGGCCCAAACUCCUACGGAAGGCAGCAG